rnacentral:tRNA from 8 species
GUGCUUGUGGUGUAGUGGUUAUCACAUCCGCCUAACACGCGGAAGGUCCCAGGUUCGAUCCCUGGCAGGCACA